rnacentral:rRNA from 1 species
CUACUGGGGUAUCUAAUCCUGUUUGCUCCCCACGCUUUCGCACCUCAGCGUCAAUACUUGUCCAGUCAGUCGCCUUCGCCACUGGUGUUCUUCCGAAUAUCUACGAAUUUCACCUCUACACUCGGAAUUCCACUGACCUCUCCAAGAUUCUAGCUAGCCAGUUUCAGAGGCAGUUCCGGGGUUGAGCCCCGGGAUUUCACCCCUGACUUAAUUAGCCGCCUACGCGCGCUUUACGCCCAGUAAUUCCGAACAACGCUAGCUCCCUCCGUAUUACCGCGGCUGCUGGCAC